rnacentral:rRNA from 1 species
CCUACGGGAGGCAGCAGUGGGGAAUAUUGCACAAUGGGCGCAAGCCUGAUGCAGCGACGCCGCGUGCGUGAUGGAGGCCUUCGGGUUGUAAACCGCUUUUGUUCAAGGGCAAGGCACCGUUUUCGGCCGUGUUGAGUGGAUCGUUCGAAUAAGCACCGGCCAACUAAGUGCCAGCAGCCGCGGUAAUACGUAGGGUGCAAGCGUUAACCGGAUUUAUUGGGCGUAAAGGGCGCGUAGGCGGUUCGUCCCGUCCGGUGUGAAAGUACAUCGCUUAACGGUGGAUCCGCGCCGGGUACGGGCGGGCUUGAGUGCGGUAGGGGGGACUGGAAUUCCGGGUGUAGCGGUGGAAUGUGUAGAUAUCGGGAAGAACACCAAUGGCGAAGGCAGGUCUCUGGGCCGUUACUGACGCUGAGGAGCGAAAGCGUGGGGAGCGAACAGGAUUAGAUACCCUUGUAGUC